GAUUAAUCUAACAAUUCAUUAUUGCUUCGGUUCAAUUAGUGACAACAUUUGAGGUUCAAAAACGUAUUGCUUGGAUCUAUCACUGCAAAACUUGUGACUGGGAACAAAUAAUAGCAUUCACACAAUGUAAAUAGUAAAACUUCUCUUAAUGAAGUUCUAGUUUCAAACUUUGAGUUGAUGAGUAAAAUAAUUGCUGUCAAGAUGUCAGUCAAUUGCAUAUAAACUCUAACGUCAGUGAUACUUGUUAUUAAAAUAAAACUAGUUAUUUUUCUCAAUUGCCUGGCGUAGUGCAACUUUGAAGAAUCAUGAGCUAUUGCCUAUUGAUGCAAGUUUGAAUAACAUACAAUGGAAUUGGAUUAAUAUGAUUAUCAAAAGAUUUUCUGUGUUGAUGUUCUUAUUUGUUUAUAGAACUUGGUCACAAUGAUUUAAUUGCAUUAACCAUCUUAUGUACAAUUUUCCCCUACUGGGAAAUAUAUGCUGUUCUUGUUAUAUGUCCCUAUUUAGCCAUUCUCUCCUAAACAUGGCUGGAGAGAUUGAUAAUAAAGUUUGAGACAAUUGUUGAAUUCUCUGUAUUUAAAACUAUUAGCCAUAUUCAUCGAAGGCAAAAGCUAUGUCUAUCAACUCAACUAGUUCAAAUAAAGGUUAAGCACAUCUCCCGUGCAUGCUCUCUCAAAAUGUAUUAUUUUGCUGAAUAAAUUUACAUGGCUUUCUGAUUAGAAAAUUCUUUGUUUGGAAAACCCCUUUAAUUGUUGUAUGUUUUGUAAUUCAGUUACCUAAUUUAUU
rnacentral:misc_RNA from 1 species